AGGGUUUGUAGAGUGCAGCCGGCCUUCUCCCCUCAGGCGAUGAGUUCGAUUCGAGCCUCCACAACUAGCGUCCCCGCGCAGAGAAGGCUGAGUAGCGCGGCACUUGUGCGAGCGGGCACUUAGGCUGGUGCCCCAGAAGGUGUGAGCCCCACGCCUCUUUGGCUGUUUUCCCAGACUCGGGAGAGCUUCCUGGGCUGAGGGCUUCCCCGAUCGGGGAGAGGCGGCCCGCUGGUUCAGCAAAGCCAGGCCGGCGCUUUCACGAGACACCGCUUGAGGUCUCUUGGCAGAUUGUUCUUCCCGUCUGCCGUUGUCACACUGAGGAUGUGGAGGUCCCUGGGCUGGGACUGGACACUGAAUUCCCAAGGGUCGAGUGGGGAUCUGCUAAGUGUGACUGGCCGGGUGUACAUAUCUUUCCAGGCCAACACACCGAUCCGAAGAACGACGGGGGCGUCCCAAGACGGCCUGUGUUGCAGGCUCGGCAGGGAUGUGCCGCCCACGGUCGAGCCUCCGCUCCCGAGAGCGUGCCUGGAGGAAUACUCCUGGACCUGCGCCACGGACGUCGGCCAGUCCGAGUCCUGCUGGACUCAGUCGAGCAGUGCCGUCUUCUGCUUCCAGGGCCUGGCCGUCUCCUCCCUGGCAGACACCCCCAGCCAACACACCGAUCCGGAGGACGACGGGGGCGUCCAAGACGGCCUGUGUUGCAGGCUCGGCAGGGAUGUGCCGCCCACGGUCGAGCCUCCGCUCCCGAGAGCGUGCCUGGAGGAAUACUCCUGGACCUGCGCCACGGACGUCGGCCAGUCCGAGUCCUGCUGGACUCAGUCGAGCAGUGCCGUCUUCUGCUUCCAGGGCCUGGCCGUCUCCUCCCUGGCAGACACCCCCAGUGAGUAUUGCCGCUGUGCAGGGGAUAAGGCUCCAGCUGGACUCCCUGGGCGGUCGGUGUCCUUGGCAUGCCAGCCCUCGGGCUGUGCAGACAGACACAUUGAAGGGAAUCAGGCUGGAGGACAGAGUUGGAAGCACAGACGGGAGACGCUUGAGGGAGCUGCGCUCCCUUCCUUCUUGCCAGGAUGCGCCCAGGUGCCCCUGGCCCCAGUGACACAUCACGGGACCCAAAGCCGGCAGGACAAACUCAGCUCCCCUGUGCCGCACG
rnacentral:lncRNA from 1 species